AGUGAACGCUGGCGGUAGGCCUAACACAUGCAAGUCGAACGGCAGCACAGUAAGAGCUUGCUCUUACGGGUGGCGAGUGGCGGACGGGUGAGGAAUACAUCGGAAUCUACUUUUUCGUGGGGGAUAACGUAGGGAAACUUACGCUAAUACCGCAUACGACCUACGGGUGAAAGCAGGGGAUCUUCGGACCUUGCGCGAUUGAAUGAGCCGAUGUCGGAUUUGCUAGUUGGCGGGGUAAAGGCCCACCAAGGCGACGAUCCGUAGCUGGUCUGAGAGGAGGAUCAGCCACACUGGAUCGGAGAGACGGUCCAGACUCCUACGGAAGGCAGCAGUGGGUAAUAUAGGACAGUGGGCGCAAGCCUGAUCCAGCCAGACCGCGUGGGUGAAGAAGGCCUGCGGGUUGUAAAGCCCUUUUGUUGGGAAAGAAAAGCAGCAGGUUAAUACCCCGCUGUUCGGACGGAACCCAAAGAAUAAGCACCGGCAAACUUCGU
rnacentral:rRNA from 1 species